UUUCUACUCCCUCCGUCCAAAAAUACUUGUCAUCAAAAUGGAUAAAAAGAGAUGUAUCUAAAACUAAAAUAUGUCUAGAUACAUUUCCUUUUAUCCAUUUUGAUGACAAGUAUUUCUGGACGGAGGGAGUAUUUG
rnacentral:pre_miRNA from 1 species